rnacentral:rRNA from 1 species
UACGUAGGGUGCAAGCGUUAAUCGGAAUUACUGGGCGUAAAGCGUGCGCAGGCGGUUUUGUAAGUCUGUCGUGAAAGCCCCGGGCUCAACCUGGGAAUUGCAUUUAAAACUGUCCAGCUAGAGUCUUGUAGAGGGGGGUAGAAUUCCAGGUGUAGCGGUGAAAUGCGUAGAGAUUUGGAGGAAUACCAGUGGCGAAGGCGGCCCCCUGGCACAACACUGACGCUCAGGUGCGAAAGCGUGGGGAGCAAACAGG